AGAAGCCUUUGCGGCAGCUCAAAGAUGCUAGCUGCAAGGCUAACUGCUUCAGUUGGUAAUCUGUCAGCCCGGAGCUAAAGCGCACACACUGCUGGGCUCUACACUCUUCCGGAUUACUCUCCUUUGAUGGCUGAAGAAGACCCUCUGAUGUGAUUUCAACUUGGCGCUUGUGAUCGAGGACGGACACACUGCCCAUGCUGCCACAGUAGAUAUUCUGUCACUAUGCUACUGAGAGAAGAAUGACAUUUGUCUCAUUAAAAAAUCCUGGAGCUGCCCCGAGCAGAGUUGAGGCUUGAUUCAAAAGCUGCUGCUCAAAGCCAAGUUUCUCUUUUUCUCAGCCUAUUUCUUUGCACUGCCGCAGCUUAGAGGGCAAACUGUUAUGGCACCAGAGGCCAACUGAGCAAUAGGGGACUCUGGCUGUACUGGAGGAUUAGACUGUGCUGUGGGAGUGGGGACUGGACCAGGAAAGCAGGCCCACAGCGACGCACAUCAUGCUGCAGGCACACUAGGCUCCCUGUUUGAGCCCCUUCUCUGUGGCGUUUGUUUUUUUUCUUUUCCUGCAGUCUCAUCGGUUUGGAUGGUUGAGCACAAGGGGUACUUUGAAGGAGCCCACCGGUGGCUGUGGUUUGGCCAAUGCUGACAGACUGCUUGCCAGCUAUUGCCGAUUUAGUACCCUUGUCCACUGCUGCCACUUGUUGUAACCCCCUUCGUUGUGGUCUCCAGUAUGGUGAGUGGAGGCUCGAGGCAUCGCAGGAACGCAACGGAAUCAUUAAUACAGGUGUAGCAGGUUACUUCCCCUUUGUUCUGCACUGUGAACAAUUGCAUUCAAGCAUUUUUUUCUUUGCGCUUGAAAGAACACAAUCAAGGUCGUUUUUUAAAUUUAAACCCCGGAAAGAAGACCGCUCCAGAGGAGGAUGAAGUUGAGGAAACAGGUGACAGUGUGUGGAGGGGCCAUAUUCUGUGUGGCUGUGUUCUCACUGUAUCUGAUGUUGGAUCGAGUCCAACAUGACCCUGCAAGACGACAGAAUGGUGGAAACUUUCCACGGAGCCAAAUCUCAGUUCUGCAGAACCGGAUAGAGCAGCUGGAGCAGCUCCUUGAGGAAAACCACCAAAUCAUUAGCCACAUAAAGGACUCUGUGAUGGAGCUCACAGACACAGGAGCUGUGUCUCCCAGUGGCCAUCUGCCAUUCAGAAGUGCCAAUGGUUCCUGGGUCCUACCGUUCGACGGCCGUCCCACUUUCCUCGCUGUCAAGCCCCAGGAUUGCCAAUCUGCUUUAGGCGACCAUGGUCAAGCAGAC